rnacentral:rRNA from 1 species
GAUGAACGCUGGCGGCGCGCCUAACACAUGCAAGUCGAACGAUUAAAGCACCUUCGGGUGUGUAUAAAGUGGCGAACGGCUGAGUAACACGUGGGCAACCUGCCCCUUUCAUUGGGAUAGCCACGGGAAACCGUGGAUAAUACCGAAUACUUCGAGACUUCCGCAUGGAAGACUCGAGAAAGCUCCGGCGGAGAGGGAUGGGCCCGCGGCCUGUUAGCUUGUUGGUGGGGUAACGGCCUACCAAGGCAAUGAUGGGUAGCUGGGUUGAGAGACCGACCAGCCAGAUUGGGACUGAGACACGGCCCAGACGCCUACGGGAGGCAGCAGUGGGGAAUCUUGCACAAUGGGCGAAAGCCUGAUGCAGCGACGCCGCGUGCGGGAUGAAGGCCUUCGGGUUGUAAACCGCUUUCAGCAGGGACGAGGCGAAAGUGACGGUACCUGCAGAAGAAGCCCCGGCUAACUACGUG